GAUGAACGCUGGCGGCGUGCCUAAUACAUGCAAGUCGAGCGAAUGGAUUAAGAGCUUGCUCUUAUGAAGUUAGCGGCGGACGGGUGAGUAACACGUGGGUAACCUGCCCAUAAGACUGGGAUAACUCCGGGAAACCGGGGCUAAUACCGGAUAAUAUUUUGAACCGCAUGGUUCGAAAUUGAAAGGCGGCUUCGGCUGUCACUUAUGGAUGGACCCGCGUCGCAUUAGCUAGUUGGUGAGGUAACGGCUCACCAAGGCAACGAUGCGUAGCCGACCGGAGAGGGUGCUCGGCCACACUGGGACUGAGACACGGCCCAGACUCCUACGGGAGGCAGCAGUAGGGAAUCUUCCGCAAUGGACGAAAGUCUGACGGAGCAACGCCGCGUGAGUGAUGAAGGCUUUCGGGUCGUAAAACUCUGUUGUUAGGGAAGAACAAGUGCUAGUUGAAUAAGCUGGCACCUUGGCGGUACCUAACCAGAAAGCCACGGCUAACUACGUGCCAGCCGCCGCUGUAA
rnacentral:rRNA from 1 species